rnacentral:piRNA from 1 species
UUUUAAGAAGGUGUCUAAGGAUGU